CAAAAACAUGGUGUAAAAGCUAAAUAUAUUCAUACAUACUUUAAAUCAAAUAAUUGAAGAAUAAAAUUACUUUUACAGUGACACGUGGGCCCCCAACUGAUUAAGAAGAUGUAGGGCUACGAACCUUUACUUUCUAGGAUGCAACUCCGAGAUUAAUUCUCGUCUUAAUCAACUAUCAACAAAUUAUCCUGAGCCUGAAAAAUGGAUAGGAAGAGGGGUGAGAUUAUGAUUACAUAAUUCCAGUGAGUAAACAAUUACCAUCAAAAGCAUCUAAAGCUGAGUAGAUGGAGACAAUAUAAAAAAAACGUUAUAUCUCAAUAAUGUUAAUAACACAAAAUUCGUUUCAAUCUAUACCAAAUAAUUUUUUUUCAUCAAAAUUUCUCGGUUUAUGAAUUUCUUAAACUUGGCCCCUGCCAGAAUCAUUCUCACGGGUACCUUCGUCAAGGUAUCCCACUGAGACCGCUAAGGUUGUUCAAUGACCCAUACCCAUAAACAUGUUUUCACAUCUAACACACAGUCGUUCCUUGGCGUUGGCUGAGUCUCACUCUCACGUGGUGGCCCGAACGUGAGGUGCACUCAAAUCAUACCUCAGGAGAUACUUCACCCAACAUCUCCCCCCGGAGGUAAGUAUAUAAUUGAUUUACCGUGCCCCUCUCAUAGGCAGUCCACGGAAACCCCCACCACUGCAGUGACCGUUUAAUAUACCGCCAGACCCAUAAAAAUUCCAGUAACAUAAUAUGGCGAAUAAAAUGUAAUCCAGUCUACCAAGACCAAUCCAAAACUGUUCAUAUAUUUCAUGCCAACCUCAAAAAUUUAGCUAUCAUGCUACCAUAGUGUCAUAAGCCACAAUUUCAAUAACAUAUAAAAUCAUAAAUUUCAACACAGUCUCCAUAUACUCAAUUUUCCCAAAACAAUAUUUGAUUUCAAAACCAGUAUAAAUUUCAUUUUUAUUAAAAAACAUUUUAAUUGAAAAACAUAAUAUUUUAUAAUUCAAACUCAUCAUUCAAUAAAAACAUCAAACAAGUAUAAUUACUCUAGAUAUUUAAGACGAUAAAUUAUCCACUCACAGUUCUAGGAGUCGAUAUACUCCUAUUUUCAGUCCGCGGGUACAGUCAUUUACCCGUAUCUAAUGGCUCACCACCUAGCCAUAAUCCAUGGCACAUAUUUCAAUUAAAUUGUGUCUAAAAGUCAUAAGCUAUUUCAGGCUCAAUAUAUAUGCAUGAUAUGAAAUGAAAAAUGCACAGGUAGCCAUUUAGACUCGGUAUUGACCGAAGUCGAUUUUUCAUCCAAUAAAUUGGCCAAUGCGUCCAAUUUCACUCUAACUUGCUCCAUUUCUUUUCCAAUCCCUCAAUUCACCAAGCACAACUAAUUAACACACAAUUAGGCAAAAUUUAUCUUCACUUUUCUUCUUGGAACUUUCGGCCAACAAUGGUACACUAACUCCGUGAUUUUUCCUACUUAAUUUUCUCUCCAUAAUUCAUUAAUUCCUACACCAAAAACUAUUAUUUCUUAAUCAAAUCACCUAGAAUAACAUCCCAUUCUUCCUCAUUAUUCACUUAGAGAAUUCGGCUAUUGAUGGGUUCCAAACCUUUGGUGGUUUUCUUCACUUGUUUUCAUGCUACACAUCAUUAAUCACCUAAAAACACUAACAUACCUAAAAAUCAAACCAAUCCAAGAUCAUUCUCUCUCCAUACCCAUUUUGACCAGCCAUGAAUUCAUCAUGAAAACAUGUAAUUUAACCAUGGAAAUUAAGGAAAAAUGCAUGGGUAAGGUAAAUCACUAGCAAAAUCAAAGAAAUUUUACCUUUACUUGAUCAAAUCCUUGAAUUCCAACACUUUCUCUUUGAUUUUUCCCACCUAGGGUUUGUUCUUCCUUGGUUUCUCUUCUCUUCUGGUUUGGCUGAUCACUAUGGGAGAAAUGGGCUGAUUUUUU
rnacentral:lncRNA from 1 species